rnacentral:rRNA from 1 species
AAAGAAACUAACAAGGAUUUUCUUAGUAGCGGCGAGCGAAAAGAAAUCAGUUCAGCACUAAGUCACUUUGCCUAUAUGACAAAUGUGAGAUGCAGUGUAUGGAACGUCAAUAUUCUAGUAUGAGAAAUUAACGAUUUAAGUCCUUCUUAAAUGAGGCCAUUUACCCAUAGAGGGUGCCAGGCCCGUAUAACGUUAAUGAUUAUUAGAUGAUGUUUCCAAAGAGUCGUGUUGCUUGAUAGUGCAGCACUAAGUGGGUGGUAAACUCCAUCUAAAACUAAAUAUAACCAUGAGACCGAUAGUAAACAAGUACCGUGAGGGAAAGUUGAAAAGAACUCUGAAUAGAGAGUUAAAUAGUACGUGAAACUGCUUAGAGGUUAAGCCCGAUGAACCUGAAUAUCCAUUAUGGAAAAUUCAUCAUUAGAGUUGUAAUAUUUAAUCAAUAUUAUAAUAAUAGUGUGCAUUUUUUCCAUAUAAGGACAUUGUAAUCUAUUAGUAUAAAUAAUUUAUUAAACGAUUGUGAUAAAUGUUUAUUUAAAUUAGAAUGCUUGCAUUUUAACAUAAAAUAAAUGUCAUAAAUUUGAUAAAGUGCUGAUAGAUUUAUAUGAAUACAGUGCGUUAAUUUUUCGGAAUUAUAUAAUGGCAUGAUUAUCAUUGAUCAUUGUGUUUAUUAUAAGCAUUUGUAUGAUUAACAAUGCGAAAGAUUCAGGAUACCUUCGGGACCCGUCUUGAAACACGGACCAAGGAGUCUAACAUAUGUGCAAGUUAUUGGGAUAAAAACCUAAUAGCGUAAUUAACUUGACUAUUAAUGGGAUUAGUUUUUUAGCUAUUUAUAGUUAAUUAACGCAAUCCCGGGGCG